rnacentral:rRNA from 1 species
CAAUAGCGUAUAUUUAAGUUGUUGCAGUUAAAAAGCUCGUAGUUGGAUUUCGGGUGGGAUGCGCCGGUCCGUCGUUUCGAUGUGCACUGGUGCGCCCCAUCUUCUUGUCGGGGACGCGCUCCUGGUCUUCACUGCCCGGGACGCGGAGUCGGCGAUGUUACUUUGAAAAAAUUAGAGUGUUCAAAGCAAGCCUUCGCUCUGAAUACAUUAGCAUGGAAUAACAUGAUAGGACUCUGGUUCUAUUUUGUUGGUCUUCAGGACCGGAGUAAUGACUAAUAGGGACAGUUGGGGGCAUUCGUAUUUCAUUGUCAGAGGUGAAAUUCUUGGAUUUAUGAAAGACGAACUUCUGCGAAAGCAUUUGCCAAGGAUGUUUUCAUUAA